rnacentral:rRNA from 1 species
AGAGUUUGAUCCUGGCUCAGGAUGAACGCUGGCGGCGUGCUUAACACAUGCAAGUCGAACGGGAAUGCUUCGCUGAUGCGAUUUCGGUCAAAUCUUGAAGCAUUUUAGUGGCGGACGGGUGAGUAACGCGUGGGUAACCUGCCCUGUACAGGGGGACAACAGUUGGAAACGACUGCUAAUACCGCAUAAGCGCACAGCUUCGCAUGAAGCAGUGUGAAAAACUCCGGUGGUACAGGAUGGACCCGCGUCUGAUUAGAUAGUUGGUGAGGUAACGGCCCACCAAGUCAACGAUCAGUAGCCGGCCUGAGAGGGCGAACGGCCACAUUGGGACUGAGACACGGCCCAAACUCCUACGGGAGGCAGCAGUGGGGAAUAUUGCACAAUGGGGGAAACCCUGAUGCAGCGACGCCGCGUGAGUGAAGAAGUAUUUCGGUAUGUAAAGCUCUAUCAGCAGGGAAGAAAACAAUGACGGUACCUGACUAAGAAGCCCCGGCUAACUACAUGCCAGCAGCCGCGGUAAUACGUAGGGGGCAAGCGUUAUCCGGAUUUACUGGGUGUAAAGGGAGCGUAGACGGUAGACCAAGUCUGAAGUGAAAGCCCGGGGCUCAACCCCGGAACUGCUUUGGAAACUGGUAAACUAGAGUGCAGGAGAGGUAAGUGGAAUUCCUAGUGUAGCGGUGAAAUGCGUAGAUAUUAGGAGGAACACCAGUGGCGAAGGCGGCUUACUGGACUGUAACUGACGUUGAGGCUCGAAAGCAUGGGGAGCAAACAGGAUUAGAUACCCUGGUAGUCCACGCCGUAAACGAUGAUUACUAGGUGUCGGGGAGUUAAACUCUUCGGUGCCGCAGCAAACGCAAUAAGUAAUCCACCUGGGGAGUACGUUCGCAAGAAUGAAACUCAAAGGAAUUGACGGGGACCCGCACAAGCAGUGGAGUAUGUGGUUUAAUUCGAAGCAACGCGAAGAACCUUACCAGGUCUUGACAUCCGAUGCAUAGUGCAGAGAUGCAUGAAGUCCUUCGGGACAUCGAGACAGGUGGUGCAUGGUUGUCGUCAGCUCGUGUCGUGAGAUGUUGGGUUAAGUCCCGCAACGAGCGCAACCCUUAUUGCCAGUUACUACGAAAGAGGACUCUGGCGAGACUGCCGUUGACAAAACGGAGGAAGGUGGGGAUGACGUCAAAUCAUCAUGCCCUUUAUGACCUGGGCUACACACGUACUACAAUGACGUUUAACAAGGAGAAGCAAGACCGCGAGGUGGAGCAAAACUCAAAAACAACGUCUCAGUUCAGAUUGCAGGCUGCAACUCGCCUGCAUGAAGUCGGAAUUGCUAGUAAUCGCGGAUCAGCAUGCCGCGGUGAAUACGUUCCCGGGCCUUGUACACACCGCCCGUCACACCAUGAGAGCCGGGGGGACCCGAAGUCGGUAGUCUAACCGCAAGGAGGACGCCGCCGAAGGUAAAACUGGUGAUUGGGGUGAAGUCGUAACAAGGUA